rnacentral:misc_RNA from 1 species
UACGGAGGGUGCAAGCGUUUUUCGGAAUCAUUGGGCGUAAAGCGCGCGUAGGUGGCUGAGUAAGAUGGGUGUGAAAUCCCCGGGCUCAACCUGGGAACGGCAUCCGGAACUGUCAAGCUAGAGUGCAGGAGAGGAAGGUAGAAUUCCCGGUGUAGCGGUGAAAUGCGUAGAGAUCGGGAGGAAUACCAGUGGCGAAGGCGGCCUUCUGGACUGACACUGACACUGAGGUGCGAAAGCGUGGGUAGCAAACAGG